UACCAGCACCCCGAGUGGUCGGGACGAUUAUUGGGCCUAAAGCAUCCGUAGCCGGUUCUGCAAGUCCCCCGUUAAAUCCAGCUGCUUAACAGAUGGGCUGCGGAGGAUACUAUAAGACUAGGAGGCAGGAGAGGCAAGCGGUACUCAGUGGGUAGGGGUAAAAUCCGUUGAUCCAUUGAAGACCACCAGUGGCGAAGGCGGCUUGCCAGAAUGCGCUCGACGGUGAGGGAUGAAAGCUGGGGGAGCAAACCGG
rnacentral:rRNA from 1 species